UACGAGGGGGGCGAGCGUUGUUCGGAAUUAUUGGGCGUAAAGGGUGCGUAGGCGGUUUGGUAAGUCUUAUGUGAAAUCUACAGGCUCAACUUGUAGUCUGCAUGAGAAACUGCCGGGCUUGAGUAUGGGAGAGGUGAGUGGAAUUCCUGGUGUAGCGGUGAAAUGCGUAGAUAUCAGGAGGAACACCUGCGGCGAAAGCGGCUCACUGGACCAUAACUGACGCUGAUGCACGAAAGCUAGGGGAGCAAACAGG
rnacentral:rRNA from 1 species